UACAGAGGGGGCGAGCGUUGUUCGGAAUUACUGGGCGUAAAGGGCUCGUAGGCGGCCAACUAAGUCGGACGUGAAAUCCCCAGGCUCAACCUGGGAACUGCGUCCGAUACUGGAUGGCUUGAAUCCGGGAGAGGGAUGCAGAAUUCCACGUGUAGCAGUGAAAUGCGUAGAGAUGUGGAGGAACACCGAUGGCGAAGGCAGCCCCCUGGGUCAAGAUUGACGCUCAUGCACGAAAGCGUGGGGAGCAAACAGG
rnacentral:rRNA from 1 species